GCGAACGCUGGCGGCAGGCCUAAUACAUGCAAGUCGAGCGGCCCUUCGGGGCAGCGGCGGACGGGUGAGUAACGCGUGGGAACGUGCCCUUUGGUACGGAACAACUGAGGGAAACUUCAGCUAAUACCGUAUGUGCCCUUCGGGGGAAAGAUUUAUCGCCAUUGGAGCGGCCCGCGUUAGAUUAGCUAGUUGGUAGGGUAAUGGCCUACCAAGGCGACGAUCUAUAGCUGGUCUGAGAGGAUGAUCAGCCACACUGGGACUGAGACACGGCCCAGACUCCUACGGGAGGCAGCAGUAGGGAAUCUUGCGCAAUGGGCGAAAGCCUGACGCAGCCAUGCCGCGUGAAUGAUGAAGGUCUUAGGAUUGUAAAAUUCUUUCACCGGGGACGAUAAUGACGGUACCCGGAGAAGAAGCCCCGGCUAACUUCGUGCCAGCCGCCGCCGAAAAAC
rnacentral:rRNA from 1 species